GACGAACGCUGGCGGCGUGCCUAAUACAUGCAAGUUGAGCGCUGAAGGUUGGUACUUGUACCAACUGGAUGAGCAGCGAACGGGUGAGUAACGCGUGGGGAAUCUGCCUUUGAGCGGGGGACAACAUUUGGAAACGAAUGCUAAUACCGCAUAAAAACUUUAAACACAAGUUUUAAGUUUGAAAGAUGCAAUUGCAUCACUCAAAGAUGAUCCCGCGUUGUAUUAGCUAGUUGGUGAGGUAGAGGCUCACCAAGGCGAUGAUACAUAGCCGACCUGAGAGGGUGAUCGGCCACAUUGGGACUGAGACACGGCCCAAACUCCUACGGGAGGCAGCAGUAGGGAAUCUUCGGCAAUGGACGAAAGUCUGACCGAGCAACGCCGCGUGAGUGAAGAAGGGUUUCGGAUCGUAAAACUCUGUUGGUAGAGAAGAACGUUGGUGAGAGUGGAAAGCUCAUCAAGUGACGGUAACUACACAGAAAGGGACGGCUAACUACGUG
rnacentral:rRNA from 1 species